rnacentral:rRNA from 1 species
CCUACGGGUGGCAGCAGUGGGGAAUAUUGGGCAAUGGGCGCAAGCCUGACCCAGCAACGCCGCGUGAAGGAAGAAGGCUUUCGGGUUGUAAACUUCUUUUCUCAGGGACGAAGAAAGUGACGGUACCUGAGGAAUAAGCCACGGCUAACUACGUGCCAGCAGCCGCGGUAAUACGUAGGUGGCAAGCGUUAUCCGGAUUUAUUCGGUGUAAAGGACUUGUAGGCGGGAGCGCAAGUCAGAUGUUAAACCCGAGGGCGCAACCCUGGGCGUGCAUGUGAAACUGUGUUUCUUGAGUGCCGGAGAGGUAAUGGGAAUUCCGUGUGUAGCGGUGAAAUGCGUAGAUAUACGGAGGAACACCAGUGGCGAAGGCGGAUGGCUGGACAGUAACUGACGCUGAGGCGCGAAAGCGUGGGGAGCAAACAGGAUUAGAUACCCCAGUAGUC